UCACAAGUCACACAAUAUUCCAGUCAAAUACAGAUGGUUGAGAAAAGUCAUCCAUCUUCCCUCCCCACCCUCCCACAGCCCCUCAACCACUGCCCUGAAACUUAUAUGCUGUUAUCCGCAGCUCCAUCUGGAGCAUCACAGCUACUGUCAACCCUGACGCUCUUUCUGAAAAAACACCGGAUGGACAUCAGAACUAUUUCUUUAAAGAUGUUACAGAGCCACACAGGAAAACUUGCCUUAUGAUUUUGAAUGCACAGAUCUGAUUUGACUAAACAUGAUAACUAGAGAAUCACCCAAUCUACUCCCAUUUUCAACUCUAAAUCAUCAGAGUGUCUCAAAUCCAAAGCACACACAGACCAGCCUGGCCAACGCGGUGAAACUCCACCCCUACUAAAAGUAUAAAAAUUAUCCAGGUGUGGUGGUGGGCGCCUGUAAUCCAAGCUACUUGGGAGUCUGAGGCAGGAGAAUCCCUUGAACCUGGGAGAUGGAGGUUGCAGUGAGCAGAGAUCACACCACUGCACUCUAGCCUGGGCCACAAAUCAACAACAACAACAACAACAAAAAACAAAGCGCACACAGAGACUGAGGUCCCCUUUGGCAUUGAGAAGAUGGCUAUGCAAGUCCCAACUAGCAAGUGCAAACUUCCCAGCUUCACUUCUGCCAGUGUCCCUUCACCCCUUCUCAACCCCACUGGGAGGCAGGAGGGUGCUUGACAAUAACAGCCUUGGCAUCACUCUGCCAGGGUGUAAUAGGAACUGUUACAAUUCUGAGAUUCUGUAUGGGAGUGUCUAGUUGCAGGAAACAAGCUCAGGGCUUCCACUGAUUCUACAUUAUGGCUGUGGCUUGCCUUUUCACUUCUUGUGUCCUGUUUAAGAAAUAUCUACUAUCCCAAGCAUCUGGCAUCUUUCUUGACACAUGUAGCAGUUGCUUUUUGACAGCUUGCUUCUUCAGUGAAUGAAUAAAUUAAUAAAGAGAAAUGUGAUGUUCAGUGAUCCAUUUUGCAGAUAACACUAACAAAGUUGACCUUAGAAUUGGAGUGCCUGGGUUAGAACCCUGCUGGUACCACCUGCUUACUGCAUGCUUCUGAUGUGAGUUCAGGAGAAGACACUGGCAAGGACAGCAAAGAACAGGAGAACACUCUAGCUUCCCUGAUAGCAUUCAAGGUGCUGUCCAAAAGUUUCACUCUUACUGCCCAGGCUGGAGUGGAAUGGCACAAUCUUGGCUCACUGCAACCUCCGUCUUUCGGGCUAAGGCAGAAGAACGGCUUGAACCCGGGAGGCGGAGUUUGCAGUGGGCCGAGAUCGCGCCACUGCACUGCAGCCUGGGUGACAGAGUCUGUUUCAAAAAAAAAAAAAAAAAAAAAAAA
rnacentral:lncRNA from 1 species